rnacentral:ncRNA from 2 species
AUGUAUAUUGGGCAAACCCGUCGAAAGGCGGUGGCGCAAAGCCAAGGGCCUAAGGAGUAAAGAAAUUCUAUGGCAGCCGGUUGCAGCA